GGAUGCACAGCUUUGUGAAUGUCCUAAAAACUACUGUCUUGUACACUUGAUGGUUCACUUUUUCCUCCCAAGUGUUACUGCCACUACUGUAACUUGGAACUGGACAUCAGGGAUGAUCCCUGCUGUUCUUUCUAGUGAGCCUGCUCCAUCUCAGCUUAGCCUUCACAAGGCCUCCAUCUCCCAGGCAUUCUAACCUCUGAAGAAAGCUCUCUGUCCCCUGGACUGCCUGUGUGGAGGGUAAUGAACUGGGUCCUUUAAGGAAUGGCACCUGGGUGCCCAGAGGCAUGGCCAGAAGGUGUCUGUGGGGGCCAUGCCUUAGGGGGAUGCACCCAGGGCGGCUG
rnacentral:lncRNA from 1 species